UACGUAGGGGGCAAGCGUUGUCCGGAAUUAUUGGGCGUAAAGCGUGUGUAGGCGGCUCGGUAAGUCUGCUGUGAAAGUCCAGGGCUCAACCCUGGAAUGCCGGUGGAUACUGUCGAGCUCGAGUCCGGAAGAGGCGAGUGGAAUUCCUGGUGUAGCGGUGAAAUGCGCAGAUAUCAGGAGGAACACCAAUGGCGAAGGCAGCUCGCUGGGACGGUACUGACGCUGAGACGCGAAAGCGUGGGGAGCAAACAGG
rnacentral:rRNA from 1 species